rnacentral:rRNA from 1 species
UGAGUAACCUGUCCCUUAACUCUGGGAUAAGCCUGGGAAACUGGGUCUAAUACCGGAUAUGACUCCUCAUCGCAUGGUGGGGGGUGGAAAGCUUUAUUGUGGUUUUGGAUGGACUCGCGGCCUAUCAGCUAGUUGGUGUGGGUAAUGGCCCACCAAGGCGACGACGGGUAGCUGGUCUGAGAGGACGAUCAGCCACACUGGGACUGAGACACGGCCCAGACUCCUACGGGAGNAG